rnacentral:rRNA from 1 species
CCUACGGGUCGCACCAGUGGGGAAUAUUGCACAAUGGGCGCAAGCCUGAUGCAGCCAUGCCGCGUGUAUGAAGAAGGCCCUAGGGUUGUAAAGUACUUUCAGUCAGGAGGAAGGCGUUGAUGCUAAUAUCAUCAACGAUUGACGUUACCGACAGAAGAAGCACCGGCUAACUCCGUGCCAGCAGCCGCGGUAAUACGGAGGGUGCAAGCGUUAAUCGGAAUUACUGGGCGUAAAGCGCACGCAGGCGGUUGAUUAAGUUAGAUGUGAAAUCCCCGGGCUUAGCCUGGGAAUGGCAUCUAAGACUGGUCAGCUAGAGUUUUGUAGAGGGGGGUAGAAUUCCUUGUGUAGCGGUGAAAUGCGUAGAGAUGUGGAGGAAUACCGGUGGCGAAGGCGGCCCCCUGGACGAAGACUGACGCUCAGGUGCGAAAGCGUGGGGAGCAAACAGGAUUAGAUACCCUUGUAGUC